rnacentral:lncRNA from 1 species
CACAGCCCUAGUCAUUCAGGUCAAGUACAGGCUACGUAGUCUAGUGGGAUACCAGACCCUCCUUCCUGCUAUUAAGCCAAUACAGGGCCAGGCUCUCUCUCGCUCUAAACAUCAUUUGGCUCACUGAAAGCUUGAAACGCUAUACAUUUUCAUUUGAAGUUCCAGAUAGCUGUAUGAUGUUGUUGGGGCUCUGAGAGGAGAGAGGAAACUCUGGGCUGCCCAGGGCCUGAGAGGUGAACCAGAGAGGAACCCCGCUGCCCAGGGCCUGAGAGGUGAACCAGAGAAGAACCCCUCUGCCCAGGGCUUGAGAGGUGAACCAGAGAAGAACCCCGCUGCCCAGGACCUGAGAGGUGAACCAGAGAAGAACCCCACUGCCCAGGACCUGAGAGGUGAACCAGAGAAGAACCCCACUGCCCAGGGCCUGAGAGGUGAACCAGAGAAGAACCCCACUGCCCAGGGCCUGAGAGGUGAAACAGAGAAGAACCCCACUGCCCAGGACCUGAGAGGUGAACCAGAGAAGAACCCCACUGCCCAGGACCUGAGAGGUGAACCAGAGAAGAACCCUGCUGCCCAGGACCUGAGAGGUGAACCAGAGAAAUAGAAUGACUAAAACUGACAUUCAAAUGAACACUCUGUUAAUUCUAUUUCAAUGAUGUCAAAAACAGUGUCUACUCUGGCAGUAGAGAACAAAACUCAACCCUUCCCUUGAACCCUGGAAAGACUGACCAGCGCAGACCCUUUGGCUGGGCCUGCCAAUUAAUUAUAUAGUGACUUUAAAGCUUCCUGUUUUUCUCUCUUCAAUUAAGCCAAUCUGCCACAAUGCUGGAAACAGAGGAAAUACUCUUAAAAUAGUCUCUAAUUUCAGCACGUUCAAUUAUUUUGUACCACCCGGUCCGAAUCAGAUAGCAUCAGGUUGUGUUAAUGUAAAGAUCAACAAAGUUUGAUCACAGGGAAAAUAUUUCUGUCAUUUCUUCCUGUUUCUAGCCUGCGUAGUGUGGGAAUUUGUGAGAAGUCUGGUGCAGCUCGUCUGAGAUGGCCACUGCCCACAGCCCUAUGCCAGGGUUAGCUGGUACAUGCCUUAGCCAGGCCCAUCAUCCACCAUCAAUCUCUGACUGUUUAUUAUUACAUGUUUAGCAAAAAAGCUCGUGAUUUAUUCCCUCCUCUGUUACACUUUUCCUGUCUUCUUUUAUGAAAACAAAAUUCCAGUGAAUUCUUCCAUUAUUACCAUUAGGCAGCCAUGAUGGCUGGCACCCUCUCACUCACUGCAAACACAGUGCAGCGCCACAACAUGACUUCAGCUAAUGCUCACGGAUAUGCUGCCUGGUAUUCACAACACAUUCUGCUAUACUGUAGCUUUGUUGCCAAGUGAGUUGCUGCACAAAGCACUGACUCUCUCCCCCAUGCAGCCAGCACCUGACAAAUCGACCUUGACAGCAGACACACACUUUGUCUUCCUCUCCCCUUUCUGCUGCAACAGUUCUAAUUACAGUAAAUCUACAGGGUAGCGUUCAAGAGCAACAAGUCAACUCCAAUGUUAUCGUAAAUGCUCUGUAGCCUACUUUCCUGCUGAAUACCUGCCAGUGUUUUCCAACAUUACCCUUUUCAACUCUGAACUGAAACUCACCUCCCGGCUGCCUCACCCUCUGUUUUUCACAGGGAAACCGGAAAGGAGGAGAAAGUGAAGACUUAAAGUGUGCCAACCAGGGCAGGGCCAGUUAAAACUGACUUUAAUGGAGGAUUUAAGCUUCAGAAAGUCUGUAUUUUGACCUAAUUCACAUGUUAGUUCUGCAGUAGGGGCUGAGACAUUCUUUCAGGCUCUAUCAGAUAAAUGAUGUCUAUUGUUUUGGCCUAAUGAUAUCUAUGCUGCAGAUCUGACAGAUUGUGUGGUAAAAGUAAAUGAAAGUCAGAAGUAAAUAGUGCGAUGUGUUCAGCCACUUUACAAGUGAUGGUAGAGAUAGACAGAUAAGACAUGUACAGAUUUAGAACAGCUUCCCUUGCUCCCUCCUACUGUGUAGCACAAAAAAAAUUAAUAAUAAUUGGAAAAUAGUCCUACUUGAACGGCAAUUUCUUCCCGCAUAACUUGACAUUUUUAGUGGUUUUCAUUUUCUCUUUGAAAGCCGAAUGGGGAUAAAUAACAGGUCAUAACAGAUAGAAAUGAGAGUGUCGACAAAUGGUGAGAUGAGGUCAUAUGACUAGAUAUGUCAUAGAGACUGAUGGUAUUGGAGUGAUUAUGAGGAGGAAGGGGGUUUAGUGGGGGUGAAGAGGGAGGAAACCCCGGCAGCCCUUGUAUCAGUGGCCCGCUGGCUGGAGGCCCCUCGAUAAACAGGCCGGUUAUCACAUCACUAACAUUUAUCUAACCCUUCUCUCCAGCACACAGAGAGAACACAGAGAAAGCGGGAGGUUGGUUCCUCAAUCUCUCUGCCACAACCACAACAUUUUCUGAGGCUACUACAACUUAAAAACACACACAUAAAGAUGAGUACAAAAACAAAGCUAACUUUCUCAACGGACACUCCCUACACAUAUCUACACACCCACAAACACCCAAUCAAUUCCUGUAACAACAUCACUGUCAUCCACAGAACUCCCCCUG